rnacentral:rRNA from 1 species
UACGUAGGUGGCAAGCGUUGUCCGGAUUUAUUGGGUUUAAAGGGUGCGUAGGCGGCCCUGUAAGUCAGUGCUGAAAUAUCCCGGCUUAACCGGGAGGGUGGCAUUGAUACUGCGGGGCUAGAGUACAGAUGAGGUAGGCGGAAUUGACGGUGUAGCGGUGAAAUGCUUAGAUAUCGUCAAGAACACCGAUAGCGAAGGCAGCUUACCAAGCUGUAACUGACACUGAGGCACGAAAGUGUGGGGAUAAAACAGG